AUUGAACGCUGGCGGCAGGCCUAACACAUGCAAGUCGAACGGUAACAGGAAUCGGCUUGCUGUUUCGCUGACGAGUGGCGGACGGGUGAGUAAUGUCUGGGAAACUGCCUGAUGGAGGGGGAUAACUACUGGAAACGGUAGCUAAUACCGCAUAACGUCGCAAGACCAAAGAGGGGGACCUUCGGGCCUCUUGCCAUCGGAUGUGCCCAGAUGGGAUUAGCUAGUAGGUGGGGUAACGGCUCACCUAGGCGACGAUCCCUAGCUGGUCUGAGAGGAUGACCAGCCACACUGGAACUGAGACACGGUCCAGACUCCUACGGGAGGCAGCAGUGGGGAAUAUUGCACAAUGGGCGCAAGCCUGAUGCAGCCAUGCCGCGUGUAUGAAGAAGGCCUUCGGGUUGUAAAGUACUUUCAGCGGGGAGGAAGGGAGUAAAGUCAAUACCUUUGCUCAUUGACGUUACCCGCAGAAGAAGCACCGGCUAACUCCGUGCCAGCCGCCGCAGUAA
rnacentral:rRNA from 1 species